rnacentral:rRNA from 1 species
CCUACGGGUCGCACCAGUAGGGAAUCUUCGGCAAUGGACGAAAGUCUGACCGAGCAACGCCGCGUGAGUGAAGAAGGUUUUCGGAUCGUAAAGCUCUGUUGUUAGAGAAGAACAAGUAGGAGAGUAACUGCUCUUACCUUGACGGUAUCUAACCAGAAAGCCACGGCUAACUACGUGCCAGCAGCCGCGGUAAUACGUAGGUGGCCAGCGUUGUCCGGAUUUAUUGGGCGUAAAGCGAGCGCAGGCGGUCUUUUAAGUCUGAUGUGAAAGCCCUCGGCUCAACCGAGGAAGGUCAUUGGAAACUGGAGGACUUGAGUGCAGAAGAGGAGAGUGGAAUUCCAUGUGUAGCGGUGAAAUGCGUAGAUAUAUGGAGGGACACCAGUGGCGAAGGCGACUCUCUGGUCUGUAACUGACGCUGAGGCUCGAAAGCGUGGGGAGCAAACAGGAUUAGAUACCCCUGUAG